UGGGGAGUGGAGGAUGCCUGGAAUCUUGCAGGGGAAGGAGAGUCGUCUGUGAAGAACGAGUUACUUGUGGUGAAUGUCUACAAAGCUCAGAUGUGUUCAUCUUAAUUCAUAGGGAAUUCUGACUUUAAGCAUACUACAGGACACAGAGUAAUUAUGUGCAACAGAAAAAAAGAGGGAGAAAUUCACAUAACAGAUUUCAUGCAAGUGUUUUGGUAUAAAACUCCUGGUAUGAGACUGUAUCAGCUCUAACAGUGACUGGGGACACAACCAGAAACUGCUCAUAGAAACACAAUUGAAGGACACAGUGUUCAAACUAGUUUUACCUAAGGUAUAGCUGGAAGGAUUCUGGGCAAGUCAUUUACUAACAAAGACAGGAAGGUGAUGAGUGAUUACAUUGACUUUAUCUAGGACCACUCUAAAUGGCACAGGGCACAAAAUAUAAAGUUGGAGUCAUGAUGUCGUUUCUAACAGGUUCAUCUCCUAGCCAGAAUCAAGAAAGGAAGACACAGCAGCCACACUGUUCCCGCAGAGGUGAGGUCUGGAAGGGGUCACCCAGGCCAGGAGACUUCUGUUUGGAGUGUGCAGUAUCCUCCUCUCAUUAUUUCUUGAAACUCACGGAAAAACCUUAAGGCACUCAGUCUCUAAGUGCUUUUGGCUUCUAAACUUACCACAGAAAGCUGACAGACUAAAAACUGAGAAGUCUGUUGGCUCCUGGGUUAUGAGUAUGCAUUUCGAAAACAAAGAAGAAACAGACAUAUCACACAACACGCAAAAUGAGACAAGGCCGGGAGAGCGUGCUGUACAUAAAGAUGAGGGUUUCCCAAAAGAGUUACAACUGAGAAUGGCCCUGGCAUUUACCUUGUCCUUGUCUGCAUUCUUGGUACAGCCAGAGCCGCUGUAACUCACAGAGGUUUCAGCAGUUUCUCGAUCUACUAAAGACCCCAGAAGGGACAGAGGUUUAUUCUGCUUUUAGAGGACUGUGUGGGACGAAAAUCAUUCCUCAACUCAUUCCUCAAAUAUCUUAAACUUUUCCCUACAGUGAAGUCCCUGACCAGAGGCAGAGGGUAUCCCACAUGCCUCAGGUGACCCCCAAGAAUAAGGGAGAGAACCAUCCCCUCACCUUGAUAAAGACCUCACGGUGCCCUAGUUCAUGUUGUUUUGUAAUUAAUCACAUAACUGUGAACAGGUCAGGCACAACUAGCAAUUUAGAAUUCAUCAGUAAAACAGUUUUCUCAGUAUACAUCAUGGGAAAUCACGAUUUCAAUCCAGAUCAAGAAUAAAUAUGAGGAUGCUUGGAUUCAGCAUCCGACUCUUGAUUUUGGCUCAGAUCAUGAUCUCACAGCUUGUGAAUUCAAGCCCAGUGUUGGGUUCCUCACUGACAGUGUGGAGCCUGCUUGGCAUUCUGUCUCUGCCUCUCUCAAAAUAAAUAAACUUAAAAAAAAAGAAUACUGGUUUGGUGUAUAUCCUCAAUGAGUCCUCAAGAAGGGUGCAUUUCUUCAGACUUCAGGCAAAUUGUUCAAUCUCUCAGCUUAUCUACAAGCUGCCUUCCACAUGAGAGCAGUUAGUAUAUGACGAAAGACUAAUUUUACACUAUUGAGAAAAGAAAAACUGUGAGAAGUUAGCAGUGAAGCUGCAGAGUUGCACUGAUACCAUCAGAGGACUAAGCUAAGCUUUAUGGAACUUGAAUUGAGGGAUGUAGGGCUACAGUUCCCAAAAACAAAAAGAAAGACCGUUAAAACUAGUGAAUAAAUGACCUUCUCCUCAAACUAGUCUUCAUAUUGAGUCCGGGUGGGAAGAAGGAUGAGGCCCGUGUCCUGUCAUCCUUUCCAGGCUCUUCAGACAGGGGGAUGCUAGAGGAGGUGGGAGGGUCACCAUCAGAGGAGGGGCAUGAGGUCCACCAGUCACAGGGACAAGUGCCUCACUGUCUGCGGCACCAGAGGAGAACACCCUUCUGUCACCCCUUCAGACCACCUGCCGUCCUUAGUGCGUGUGAUUCUUUCCAGACCACACGAUGAUCACCCACAGGAACAGGCUGCACAGCAGAAAUUAGACUGCGGCACAUCACAACGUGCUCCUUACCUCUCCUUGCAGGGUUCUGCGUCUCUGGUCUUGCAGCCAUUAGUUUCUGCCUCGUGUAUCCCUCAGGCAGCCUCUUUGCUUCCAUCCCAUCCAGUCUUGGAUACAGAAAAAUAAUGGACUUCUAUAAGAGUUGCAACACCACGUCGUCUCCUAGACAACAAACAGUGCAGGCGUCAUCCCUGGAAACACCCAUAAAAACACAAGUCAAAUGACCACAUCUGUAUUUCAAGGUUGCAAAGACGAGGGCCAUGAAAUGGCACUACCACGUUGAUGGGUAUGAUUCAUUGUACGACACACUGCUUUCCUACAGAUUAUGACAAUUGACACCACCCCCGAGGAAUGU